GACGAACGCUGGCGGCGUGCCUAAUACAUGCAAGUCGAACGCUUCUUUCCUCCCGAGUGCUUGCACUCAAUUGGAAAGAGGAGUGGCGGACGGGUGAGUAACACGUGGGUAACCUACCCAUCAGAGGGGGAUAACACUUGGAAACAGGUGCUAAUACCGCAUAACAGUUUAUGCCGCAUGGCAUAAGAGUGAAAGGCGCUUUCGGGUGUCGCUGAUGGAUGGACCCGCGGUGCAUUAGCUAGUUGGUGAGGUAACGGCUCACCAAGGCCACGAUGCAUAGCCGACCUGAGAGGGUGAUCGGUCACACUGGGACUGAGACACGGCCCAGACUCCUACGGGAGGCAGCAGUAGGGAAUCUUCGGCAAUGGACGAAAGUCUGACCGAGCAACGCCGCGUGAGUGAAGAAGGUUUUCGGAUCGUAAAACUCUGUUGUUAGAGAAGAACAAGGACGUUAGUAACUGAACGUCCCCUGACGGUAUCUAACCAGAAAGCCACGGCUAACUACGUG
rnacentral:rRNA from 1 species